CCUCGAUUGGCUGCGGCGGUCAUCUGACAUCCCCUGCUCAUGUAACAUGUGAGCACCGACCGCAGGCAGGAUGAGGGAUCAGCGCAGGAACAGAGGUGGAGAUUUAAUGACUACUUUUACGUAUGAGUCGAAAAACAGAACUUCUAACACUUCGGCAGAAGAGUUGACUCCGGGCCGGAGGUUUACCUGCGUGGCGCACGUUCCGCCAUUCAUUUAUCUGGCGGUAAUUACACCGUAAUCUGGGAACUGACAGGGAUGGAUACAAAGUAUCUGGAAACAAACACCAGAUAAGAUCAUCAAACGCCUAGACGUCCCCUUUAAUCUGCCAGGUUUUGCGCCGGUUUCCUUGGCGAGUACCUCUCCAUUUCCUCCGUACAAGGACUCAAGGUGAUAAAUAAACUUCUCUCAUGUAACAGAAUCCAAUUGAAUAAAAGAAGGAAUGUGUCUCCUGACUCCGGCUCAAGUUCCCAAAAUUUAU